UACGUAGGGGGCAAGCGUUGUCCGGAUUUAUUGGGCGUAAAGAGCGUGUAGGCGGUUUGGUAGGUCCGCUGUGAAAACUCGAGGCUCAACCUCGAGACGCCGGUGGAAACCAUCAGACUAGAGUCCGGAAGAGGAGAGUGGGAAUUCCUGGUGUAGCGGUGAAAUGCGCAGAUAUCAGGAAGAACACCCGUGGCUAAGGCGGCUCUCUAGUACGGUACUGACGCUGAGACGCGAAAGCGUGGGGGAGCGAACAGG
rnacentral:rRNA from 1 species